rnacentral:lncRNA from 1 species
ACGACCACCGUCUCCCUCACCUGCCCAGCCAGCUGUUCUCUGACAACAUUAUGGAAGGAGACUUUAUGGAGGAGGAAGUUGAAACAUCGCCAAGCUAUAUCGAAGAGGACGUCACUGUGGAUUACGACUGAUGAGGUACUUCUGCCGAGAAUGUGAAAUCAUCGAGCUGUUGACUCAGAAUUUUUGCUCUGUACUGGGUGCAUAGCUAUACAUUAAGCUAUAUAUAUAUGUAUAUUAUGAAUUAAAUAAGUGGUGUUGUAUCAUGGAAAAUUCAAAGAUGUAGAUAUCAUGUGAAGGUGUGGUUGGUUUUGGUCAUUUUUUUCUCUUUUUUUUAUUCCUAUAUUUGUACAUUUUUUCCUCACCUCUUUUUAGAACUUAAUUUUUUUUGGUUUGUGUACAUUACGUGAUUAAAUGGAAGUCUGUUUCAAUAUA